GCACCGUUUUGUUAAACAAAUUUUUUUUUCAUUUCUUCAUCUCACCACGCCGAGCUCUCCCUUUUGUCUUUCCGAUCUGGAGCUUUCUCCAGAAGCCAAAAACCAACCAUGGCUGAGCCUCCAUGACUCUUUCUUCGAUCAGCCUAAGUCUAAGCCUCCUCAACCAUCAACUCUACUCACUGAAAAUCACUCUCUUCCCUCUUCAAUCUCACCAAUCUAAACGGAGUAGAGCCUCCAUGGUGAACCUCAGCCAACACCACCACAAAACCCCAUACCCCAAACCCACUCACUGAAAAUCACUCUCUUCCCCAUCUGAUUCUCAUUCCCUCAAAACCCCAAACCCACUCUUCAAUCUAUAAGCCAGAGGGCCCUAGACGACGUGUGGAUUUUGGUGUGGAUCGGCGUUGGAGUCUUUCCCUUCUCUCUCUCUCGUGGUCUUUGCGGCGGCGCCAUGGUGUGGGCGAUACAAUUCAGAUUGAUGACACAACAAUCUAUUCUGUUGGGGGCAAGAGUGAGAGCUUUCUCAGCUACUUAUUUCCUGGAUCGGGUGAGUUUAGCUCUCUCGUUUCUAAGACAUAAAACCUUCAAUAGGUUUCUUUGUUUUUUGUUGUCUUUUUUUCAAUUAUUAAAAUCGCCUAUGAUAAGUUCUUGAUUAUUGUUGGUUGAAUUUACCGAUCUUCUUUGUAAUAAUAGCGUGUUCCGUAGUGAGAAGUAGAACGACAGUAUGAAUUCUCUUAUCACUUUUAGAAGGAUAUUAUUGUUAAAUUAUUGAUUCUCACAAAAGUUUAAACUAUUGAGAAGUGAUAAAUUUAAUAAUUUAACCACAUAAUUUUAACAAUCCAUCUCAUCUGGACUCAAACUCCCUUUUAAUAAGUGCGACCCAAUUCAUGGGAUUUUAAAUUAGUUGUAGAGUGAAAGAGAUAAGAAUCAAACUUAGGACAUUAUGCUUUAAAUGACAAAGAAUCCUUGUUCAUUUUUUGUUUCAGUAAAAAAUUAUAAUGGGGUAUUUUAGUCAUGUAGAAACAAAAUUCAUCCACCUAUCAUGUUAAAGCCAAAUUCUUCUCAAUCCAUAGUAGUAUUAAAAUGAGAAAUGGUAUAUUUAGAAAAUUUUUAUAACACUUUCACUACAAAUUCAAGUAAUAUGUUGUUUUUUGUUAUUACUGGUGAGCAAAAAAGUAAUUUUAGUGGGAGACUCAAAUUAAAACUAGCACCUAGAAUUUGUUGUAAAAAUGUUAUAAAAUUAGUAAUUAAAAUUUUAAUCCAAACCAAUAUAAUUUAAAAAUCACAAACCUUACUAUUUGAAUUAGGUCAAGUCCGAAAAGUCACUUAAUUCAAUCAAAUGUCAUUCUUGCAUUUGAAACCUUAUAUAUCCAAAGUCUGUCAUCUAUAUUGGUGCAACCAUCAUCUCUUUUAAGCAUUCAUUUGGUUGGAGAGAUAGAAAAGUGAGAGGAUAGAAUAUAUUUAGUUUUUCGUCAUAUGUGUUUGGUUGGAAUGAUGGAAAAGUGGAGAGAUAGAAAACUAUUUUGUUUGGUUAAGAAGAAAAGUGAGAAUAGAAAAUAUGGUUUGUAUAAAUUUACCCUACUACCCUUAUACAAAAAUUUUCACAAAAGGCUAGAUUCAAUUAUCUUUUAUUGAAAAAAAAAAAAAAAAAAAAAAACCCUAAUGCACAAAUUAUAAAAUAUAAAAUAAAAUAAAAACCACACACCAAAUACAAAACACACACGGUCCAAAUAAAUAAAUAAAAAUCCAUGCAAUAUAUAAAAAGAAAACUUGAAAACCCUAUUAAAAAAAAUACAAAACUCAAACACUAUUAAUUUGCUAAUCCGACAAAGAACGAUAUGGCAAUUGGAGCUCUAGAUGGGUGACUAGAGAGGACAAUGACGCAGGUGGAGGACCAUUGGCGGAGGUUAAGCGGGGCGAGCGAAUACGACAACCAUAAAUCCAACGAACAAUUGGUUUGUUGUAGAUGUGAGAUGUACAAUAGAGAUCUAUGGGUCUUACAGUGUCAGCUUGGCUUGAAACUUGCCAUGAAUCGUCCUUGACUUGACUGGAAUCAUCCUUGAUUCAAUUGUUCUUGUGAGGGUAUUUGUGUCAUUCUAUUUAGAAACCCAUUUUUCACGUCUUUUCUCUCUAAUUUGAGAGAUUGUCUUUUGGUGGGUCUAAGGAGAAAACACUUGAGCCCCACCAAAAUCCUUCCCAUUUUCUCCCCAACCAAACACUCCAAAAAACCAUUUUUUAUCUACUUUUUUCUCCCCAUUUUUCUCUCUCCUAAAAUCUUCCCAACCAAACGAGGCCAGAUUAAACAAAUUCUUGACGGAUAUGUAAACUGUGCACCUUGUUAUCUUUAAGAAGUAGCUCCACUAAUGGUGAUUAUCCACACAAUCAAAAGUAAAAUGUUGUGUUCAUGGUUAUUAAACUGUACUUAUUUUUCAUUUUUUGUUUAACUAUAUAACUGAAUUUAACAUCUCAUCAACAAAUUUAAAAGAAAGAAAUAAUAAGUUCAGUUAUCAAACAAAAGAUGAGAAAUAAGUACAGGCUUGAUAUGUGUUAAGAACAAGACUAAGGGUGUAGUUGAAUUGAAGAAGGGUAAAGCAGAAAUGAAGGAAAGAUGUAAGUCUGGUUUGAAGAACACUGCACAAACAAAGCAGGGUAAUCAAAGGCUGAAUCAAAAGAAGCUUAAAGUAUGGUUAAAGAAGAUUAUUGUUGCAAUAUUAAAGAGUUAAAUAGAAGCGUGUGAGUUGCACGUGAGAAUGAGUAAUCGGUUAUUUAGUUAGCAGUAGAAUGACACUUGUCAUAAGCUUAUUGGGGGAGCAAAAUUAGGAAAUUCUGUUAGAGUUUGUUAGAGGUUUUCCCGCGUUUUUCUUCUUCUUUCUGGUCUGUAACUUCUAGUAUAAAUAGGUAUUGAUAUGUGUAAAUUAGUCAGUCCUUUGUAAUACAUAGAUUGAGCAAUAAAGUUUUCUCUCUUUCACUCAGAA